GAUGAAGAACGCAGCGAAACGCGAUAAGUAGUGUGAAUUGCAGAAUUUAGUGAAUCAUCGAAUCUUUGAACGCACAUUGCGCCCUAUAGUAUUCUGUAGGGCAUGCCUGUUCGAGCGUUAUUGAGACCUCAAGCUCUGCUUGGAAAUGGGCGCUUGUCUUGCCUUGCAGACUCGCCUUAAAACCAUUGGCAGCUGAUUUACAAUGUUUGGUGCACAGUACAUGAGCCCAAGUGUUGCAAUGAGUGGCCCAAAAGUAUACAAUAGAAGCUUAACCUCGGAUCAGGUAGGGAUACCCGCUGAACUUAAGCAUAUCAAUAAGCGGAGGA
rnacentral:misc_RNA from 1 species